rnacentral:lncRNA from 1 species
UCUUCUCACUCAAGCUUUUCUUAUAUUUCCAUUAGGAAUUCGUUGAUUUUCUUUGCCAUUAAAAUGAGUUUUGAAGGAUUUCUAUCUCCAAACAUGGCUGAUAUGGCUGGUAAGAGUCGCGUUGUUUGUUGUGGUCCAAGCCCUAGUUUUUAUCGUACUGUCCAAGUCCUCAAACUCAUUCCGCACUGGAAUGAAUUCCUUCAAGACUGUGAGGUCUCCGAGAGUUGGGAGAAUUCUUGCUGUGUUUUUCCACAUGCCUCAAGGCGAACGAUCUCCGAUGCGCUCGCCCCCGCCGAACCCUACAGAAUCCAAAGCAUAGUUCUCUGUGUGUGCUAGGGAGAGAGAGAGAGAUAAGCAUUUGUUGUGUUGGAGCUUUAAGCCUGCCAUCUUCAUGUGGUUUUGUGCUUGGAUGGUUUGUGUGCCUCUACUUGUUAAGAGAAGACUUAAGAGUGAUUAACUUUUUGUUUAAGAAGAUUCAUUUAGAUUGGUUUUGACACUUUCUAACUGUUUGCUUUCCGUGUAAG